GCCGCUCGCUAGGGGUGUUGGCAGGGCGCGAGCCCUGCCGACUGAGACAGUCCCUUUGAACCUGAUCGAGGUAAUGCUCGCGCAGGGAAGCAGUCCUCCGGCGCC
rnacentral:ncRNA from 2 species